rnacentral:rRNA from 1 species
GACGAACGCUGGCGGCGUGCCUAAUACAUGCAAGUUGAGCGCUGAAGGUUGGUACUUGUACCAACUGGAUGAGCAGCGAACGGGUGAGUAACGCGUGGGGAAUCUGCCUUUGAGCGGGGGACAACAUUUGGAAACGAAUGCUAAUACCGCAUAAAAACUUUAAACACAAGUUUUAAGUUUGAGAGAUGCAAUUGCAUCACUCAAAGAUGAUCCCGCGUUGUAUUAGCUAGUUGGCGAGGUAAAGGCUCACCAAGGCGAUGAUACAUAGCCGACCUGAGAGGGUGAUAGGCCACAUUGGGACUGAGACACGGCCCAAACUCCUACGGGAGGCAGCAGUAGGGAAGCUUCGGCAAGGGACGAAAGUCUGACCGAGCAACGCCGCGUGAGUGAAGAAGGUUGUCGGAUCGUAAAACUCUGUUGGUAGAGAAGAACGUUGGUGAGAGUGGAAAGCUCAUCAAGUGACGGUAACUACCCAGAAAGGGACGGCUAACUACGUG